rnacentral:lncRNA from 1 species
AACAAACAUUGACUCGUUCCUUAUUCAGAAGCUACGUACGGUAUAGUUAUGGCUAACCGUACACUGUACGUAGCUUGUUAUUGUUCUAAACACAAGACGACUGAAACGAGACACAUCACACGAACGACAGCAAAUAAUUAAGGUAGCCACAGCUAGCUUUCGCUGCUAACGAUGGAUAUAAUUUCUUUCAUUGAUAAGCAACUAGCACUCGAAGUAACAGAAGCACGCAUAACCAGUUCCUUGUCUGUAGCAAGCCCCGUACCUUGCAUCCUCCUGCUGCUUGCAGUGCCUGCUACAUUUCCCCGUGUUGAGACACGGCCCCGACCAUGUCUUGCUACGCCGCUGGCACACUUUUGCUUCCGCCAUUGGCACUUCUGUAACAAGCAUACAAAAUCAUUAACGUGCACUUAGAUAUAUAAGUUAUUAUCAAAGCUCAUGGGUGUCAACAAAUUCAGGUGGUAAAAUGAUCUCUUAGGUUGAAACAAGAAGUCUGAGGUUUAAACUCUGCUUACAUGAAUGGAAGAGUGCUUUAUAUUACAAUAUACCAGUAUACAAACACACACACACACACACUAAAAUCUGAAAUAAAAAAAAAAUUGUUAUGAAAGUUUAAUAUGCAUGCAUAUGAAACAUAUAUAUGAUUUUGCUUCCCCUCUGGCAUUUCUGUAACACAUACACAGCAUAUUUAAUGCACUCAGUUAGCUAAUAUUAGUUAGGCACGUGGGCUUAUGAAUGGUAUUUAGUGUCAGACUCAUGCGCAAGUAUGCCCUCAUCGCUUAAGAGCAGUUAUUCAAGAAAACUUCAACUAUAAACUAACUUUUUGAGUAUGAGUUAGGCUCAAGUCUUUUUGAAACUGCACAACUUAAUAUCAUAGGCAAAACUUAAAAUUAAAUUUUGAUUGCUGAAAAACUAUUAAGUACUGGUUAACAUCAAGUCACUCACCGAAGGAAGCAAAGAGUAUGAAGAACGCAAAAAUAAGAGCAAAAGCUGUGGUAAUGCUAGCAACUGACUUAGCCAUUUUUGCACUUGCUUUGGUUUUAAUUUGAUGAAAUUGCUGAAGGCCCCAACCCCUAUUUAUACUUGGAUAUAAGCUGUCUCUUCGUCUCUAGCCAAGAUCCGCGAGAGACAAAGAAACAAUAAAUUAAUUAACCGGGGAAAUUUGAAUUAGACACUAAAAAAUGAAUUCACGCUCGGAUUAUUGACAAAAAAUUUUACAGUUUAUGCAAAUAAUUGUGAAUUAGAAUGACGUCCUGCCAAUUGCUAUAUUAUAUGCACUCUGAAGUAGUCUUAGGUAGUUGAAAUCUUCAAAUUUAAAUAUAAUACGCAAUGCGAACUUCAAUGACCCAAUCUUCCCCAUAACCUUGUCAUUGACAAAAGAUUUUACAGUUUAUUCAGAUAAUUGUGAAUUGAAAUAGUGUCCUGCCAAGUGCUCUAUUUCAUUAUUUCAUAUGCACUCUGAAGUAGUCUUAGUUAAAAUCUUAAAAUUUAAAUAUCAUAUCCAAUGCCCGACUUCAAUGACCCAUUCUUCCCUAUAACCUUGUUAAACCACCCUAUCGGAUUCUGUAUAUUCUAUUUAUUGUGUGGUUAAUUGUUCUUAUCAAUCGGAUCUAUGACAUACAGCGCUUCAUCUACGUAGCAAAAUGAUGGUGCAAGUAUAAUUUUCUAUUGCUAUAAACAGAAAAUUAAACGUUUUAUUCAUACUAUUACUUUUAUAAGUUUUAUGUAAACUUUUAAAGACCACAUUGAAAAGAUAAAUUCACUCUUGUUAUCAUUCAAUUUAGCUUAAGGUCAAUUUAUACCAGAAUAUUGAGAAGAUAGAAAGAACUUAAACAAUCAUACUAAAUAGGGGAUUUCUUCCAUAUUUUUAAUACUAUAAUGUCGAUGAUACGUACUAUUUUUACAUUCAAUGAUGAAAAUGAUUUUGGCUCAUAUUAGUCUUAAUAAAGAAGAAUUAAUAUUUAGGAUCAUAAAGUGAUCCCUUUUUUAUGAAAUUCUUAUUUAUUUCUGACAAAAAAUCUUAAAGAUAACAAGACAACUGAAGAGAAAAUUCCUCCAAACAUACAUAAAAACCAUGACAACAAAAAUGAAAAUGAGCCAAAGCAUUUCUUGAUUACAAAUUCUUGGGACAUAACAGAUUCGAAAAUCUUACUUUGAUACAGGUAAGUGUUAGAGAUUAGAAAUAAUAUGAAACAACUAUGUAUGAGUAUGAUGGAUACCCUAAAUCAGCUAAACAACGCACAACAUAGUCAUCCUAAUCUUAUUAAAGGGAUGUAUCUUCGACAACUUAUUUGAUCUCUUAUGCUGUGGGGGCCAAAUUCAUUUAUGUGGGGGAAAUUUGUGAACUAUGACCUUCAAAUUCUUGUACGUGUAAGGUAAGAACUCUCGUCUAAAAGCCUUGUUUUAUUAGGUGAUUAUUGACAUAGACAAAUAAAAUAUAGCAAUUGAUUAGUGAUUACGACAAUGUUGAUGCGUAAUCAAAUAGAAUAUUUAUGAUUUUUUUAUGCUCAUCGGAUGUUAAUAAGAUAAGAAUCGCGAUGAAAAGUUCAUCAAUGUAUAUGGUACGCAUGUUGAUAGAGGACAAAAACAUUGUUUGAAAUUAAUAUUUUUUUGGGUUUAAAGGUAUUGGACUUUUCUUCUUUGACUAUGGAUAGUAGUUUUUUUUGGAAUCAAAUACAGUAUGAUUAUUUGAACAUAUUAAAAUACUCAAUAAACAUGUUUACUAAAAUACUCUUAUUAAAGAUUUCUCUCAUUGUUUCUUUUUCAACCCUCCAUCCACUCUUAAUUCUCUCCCAUCUUUUAUCUGCCAGUAUUGUCUUAUCUAGAAUAGAAAUUUAGGCUAUGGACAUCUAGUAAUAAAAAUUUAAAAACUUAAAUAAAAAAUGAAAAAAUGAGUCUAAUGAGCAAUUUUAUGGGUUCAAAUAAUUAAUUCCGCCUACUCAAGUGCCAGUAUUGUCCUAUCUAUAAUAUAAAUUUAGGCUAUGGACAUUCUAGUAAUAAAAAUUUAAAAACUUAAAUAAAAAAUGAGUCUAAUGAGUAAUUUUAUGGGUUCAAAUAAUUAAUUCCUUCUACUCAAGUAUUAUUCUUUUAUUUCUGGAUAAUAGUAACAAAGUACGAUUUCAAAGAUAACAAUUCAGAUGGGUAGGAAAGUCUUCCAAUAAAUAUUAGAUAUUUAAAUUAGUAGUUUGAAGAUAAAAUACUAGUAGGAUCAUGGAGCGGGGACAUGACUGGAUUAGCAACAAUGUUUUUUAAAAGGUAGAGAUGUGGGUAAAAAUUAAAAUGCUUUUUUAAUAUUUAACAUCAAUUAAAUAAGACUUCUUAAAAAGUAGUUGGCUAGAUCCUGGAGGUGAUUACCUGCAAAAUUCAUUACAUUGAUGAAGGAGUAUCUAAUUAGCAGAUUUGAUAUUACUCCUAUAGUUAUAGGAUGGAUAAAAGUAUUAAUUGGAAAAAAGUGUUAAUGGAGAAUAAAUGGUGGAUAUCAUUAUGUGGCUCGAACUCAUAUGCAGAUACGCUAUUACUGCACUCGCAUGAAGUGAAAAUAGAUUUGUUGGACAUCCCUUAUUCAUAUUUUUUCUCAUUAGUCAUAAUUGUCCCAUAGACAAUAACAAAUGUAGGAUUUUAAAAUGAAUAAAAAAGGUUCUUUUCAAUAAUCUCAUAUUUACAAAUUUUAUUUUCUUUUAGUGUUUCCAAAAAAGAGAAACAUGUAAAAAAUAUAUAUUAGCUUGUUAUACGAUUCUUUUUGGUCAAGUAGUGACAGUGCUUCAUAUGUGGCUCGAACUCAUACGCAGAUACGCUAUUAUAAAUUGCAAUCCUACCUAUAAUUAGGUUGAAUGACCAAAUGAAGAUACAAUAAUCUUGAACUCACAUAUAAAAUUGUAACAGUAGGAACAAAUAAUGUGAAACAUUAAACCAAACAAUAUUCAGUCAUAGUUCAAGGUAUACAUUUAUAAAAAAAAAAAAAAAGCACAAUAAACAUCGAUUAUUUUCAUGAAAAUAGCCACAUAUAACCAACAGUAAGGUUACUUAUUAUUUUAAAUAUUAUUUCGUGAAACAGCUGCAGCUACAUAGCUGACCAACACAACAGUAGCUUGUUAUUUCCAAACACAAGAGGAAUAAACACACAAAAGCAGCAAAAGGCAUGAAUGCAGCUUCUUCAAGUUGAGUAACUAUAGCUAGCAAUUGAAGAAGCAGAAGCAGGCAAAACCAAGACCAUCUCUGUGGCAAGCACCGCUACUUGCACCCUCGCGUUCUCGGCACUGUUUAUCACAGUCUUCUGUUACGAAGCACGGGCCAGUCCAAGUCUUACUACGCCGCUCGCAUAGUGCAGCCUCUGCCGGCUUUGCCAUUUCUGUAAUACACAACACUUACACAAAAUGAUUAAUUUCUAGUUAAUUAAAUUUUAUAAUGCAUGCGUGCUUGCACAAACUUAUCAUCAUGAAGUACACAUCAAUGUCACUCACCGAACGAAGCGAAGAUGAUGAAGAAUGCAAAAAGAAGAGCAAAAGUCAUUGUAAAGCCAGAAACAGAUUUAGCCAUUUUAAUUUUUAUUUGUUGCACUUGCUGAACUGGUUUAUUAUUUCAUGAAAAUGGUAAGUGACCGUAGCCCCAAUUUAUACACUUGCAAUGUAAGCUAUCCCUUCCCUUUUUGAGAAAGUUUCGAUGAAAUUUUUAGACCUUACUAGUUUUUUAAUGUAUCGAUAAAGUGCAAGGUUUAAUUGUUGUUUUGUAUUAGUUCUUGUCCUCAUGUUUUUUUUCAUUGAUUCCAAGGAAAUAUGCCCAUAUAUAUUCACCUUGUUUCCCAUGUUUAUGUUUUGAAAUUAACGCCGUUUGUUAAAUUUAUAAGUUUAUUAUGAUAAACACGUACAUGCAUGUAUCGAAUUUACAAAAUACAUUAAUUUUUAAAUAAACAUAUGAUUUUAAACUUCCUAUACGUGCACAAUAUGGUUGGCUAUUCGGUAACCAUCUCCCACGUUGGGAAUAUGUAAACAACAAAUAUAUCAGUACCAACAAAGACAGAUAAGUAUUUUCAGCCGAUGUGGCAAACAAGGUUGUGAGGCCAAAAUAAAAUAUUUACAAAGUAAUGAGGUAAAAUUGUAAAAUUUAAAAAUAGUUAAAUUUUAUAAUUUUAUAAUUAUUUUCAAAUCUUUUUUUUUACGUUGCUUUCUAAAAAAUUUCAAAAAGUAAGCCGGGGGUUACCUUGAUUUUUUUUUUUUUGGUUUUUUUUAACUUUAAAAUUUCAAAGAUAAGUUAGGGUUGCCUUGAAAGCCUUUGCUAUAGGUUGCAUUACUUUUGAAAAAUUUUCAAAAAGUCAGGGGUCACCUUGCGCAAACGCUCUUCCUCUUCUAUAUUUAUAUUAAUCUCGAACUUACUUCAAUAUAUAUCUAGUUUGCCUAUCAAGUGAUAACAUAACAUCACUGCUACAAUAAUCCUAAACUUUCAUACUGUUGGGUGUGGGUACAUGGAGAUACAUCAACAAUGGUACAAUGAAACUUCAUCGGGGCCAGACCAAUAACUUAAUUAUAUCUAGGAUGUAAUGGGAGGGGAAAAAAAUUCGAUCCUACACAAAUAAUUUAUCAUCAUGUGUUAAGUGACGAUUGACUUUAUUAAUUAUUGGUGCAAAAUUAAUAUGCCAAGCACAAAUGAUUAACUGAGAUACAAAAUCUUGGUUCUCCACUGCGUGUGUAUGUUAUACCAUGUAAUGUUGUUAUCACCACCCAAAACUCUCUCCGAAUUAAGUAGGUACAGGCUCUAAUUCAUCACAAGAUUAUUACUGCACUCAAAUGAAGUGAAAAUAGAUUUGUUGGAUAUCCCUUAUUCAUAUUUUUUCUCAUUAGUCAUAAUUGUCCAAUAGACAAUAACAAAUGUAGGAUUUUAAAAUGAAUAAAAAAGUUCUUUUCAAUAAUCUCAUAUUUACAAAUUAUAUUUUCUUUUAGUGUUUCCAAAAAAGAGAAACAUGUAAAAAAUAUAUAUUAGCUUCUUAUACGACUCUUUUUGGUCAAGUGAUAGUGCUUCAGGUAAUUUUUAUAAAUAAAAUUAAGUUUUGUUUCAAAUAAGCACUCCCCCUACCCCCCCCAAAAAAAAGAAGGGGAGAAGGCAAAACCCAGAUUGAUUUCUUAACAGUUACUUUUCUCAAAAUCCAGACUCAAGCGGUCGGCCAAAGAAAUUUGCAUAAAAACCACUCGGUCAAGCCCUUAGGGCUCAUUGAGUACUCAUUGAUGGCAAUAUAAUUAAUUAAUUCUAAUGUGACCAAGUCAUUUGCACGUGAGAGAAACUGAAUGUUAAUUAUAUUUCACCAGCAACUAUAUUUUGUUAUUUUAUAUUAUUAAGUCCCAAGAUGGUUAUGUUUCAUACACAUUUAACUAAUUAAGAACAUAAUAAAUACUUAUAUGGAAUAAACAAUUUUCAUAAUAGUACAUGAAUGUUCAUUCCUGAUGCUUGCGUAUCAUAGUAAUAUAAAUAGCGUGAAGAGAUGGAGUAAUAACUUAUAAUUAGAUUUGUAGAGUGUGGCUGAUUAUAUUAGAAUAACACAAACAAGCAAUACAACAAAGACCCAACAAACAUUGACUCGUUCCUUAUUCAGAAGCUACGUACGGUAUAGUUAUGGCUAACCGUACACCGUACGUAGCUUGUUAUUGUUCUAAACACAAGACGACUGAAACGAGACACAUCACACGAACGACAGCAAAUAAUUAAGGUAGCCACAGCUAGCUUUCGCUGCUAACGAUGGAUAUAAUUUCUGUCAUUGAUAAGCAACUAGCACUUGAAGUAACAGAAGCACGCAUAACCAGUUCCUUGUCUGUAGCAAGCCCCGUACCUU